AACGGAUCUUGCUUGUAGCUUGCUACAAGCGGGGUCAGUGGCGAACGGGUGAGUAACACGUGGAUAACCUGCCCUGUAACCCGGGAUAACACUCCGAAAGGAGUGCUAAUACCGGAUAGGCCGUCUAGCCGCACGGUAUGAUGGGGAAAGGUGCAAACCGAUACAGGAUGGGUCCGCGUCCCAUUAGCUAGUUGGUGAGGUAACGGCUCACCAAGGCGACGAUGGGUAGCCGGCCUGAGAGGGUGAACGGCCACACUGGGACUGAGAUACGGCCCAGACUCCUACGGGAGGCAGCAGUCGGGAAUCUUCCACAAUGGGCGAAAGCCUGAUGGAGCGACGCCGCGUGAGUGAUGAAGGCCUUCGGGUCGUAAAGCUCUGUUACCAGGGACGAAAUAAGACGGUACCUGGGGAGGAAGCCACGGCUAACUACGUGCCAGCAGCCGCGGUAAUACGUAGGUGGCGAGCGUUGUCCGGAAUUAUUGGGCGUAAAGGGCGCGUAGGCGGUUACUUAAGUCAGGUGUGAAAGCCCCCGGCUCAACUGGGGAGAGCCACCUGAUACUGAGCAACUAGAGUGCGGGAGAGGGAAGUGGAAUUCCAUGUGUAGCGGUGAAAUGCGUAGAUAUAUGGAGGAACACCAGUGGCGAAGGCGGCUUCCUGGACCGUAACUGACGCUGAGGCGCGAAAGCUGGGGGAGUGAACGGGAUUAGAUACCCCGGUAAUCCCAGCCGUAAACGAUGGAUGCUAGGUGUAGGGGGUAUCGACCCCCCCUGUGCCGNNNUCAACACAAUAAGCAUCCCGCC
rnacentral:rRNA from 1 species